GUUUCCGGAACUUCGGUUCUGGAAAGAAAGCAAUACCGUGGGUAUUGCGCUCAUGGAUGGGCUCAUGUCCUAUCAGCUUGUUGGUGAGGUAAUGGCUCACCAAGGCUUCGACGGGUAGCUGGUCUGAGAGGACGAUCAGCCACACUGGCACUGCGACACGGGCCAGACUCCUACGGGAGGCAGCAGUAAGGAAUAUUGCGCAAUGGACGAAAGUCUGACGCAGCGACGCCGCGUGGGGGAUGAAGGUCUUCGGAUUGUAAACCCCUUUCGGGAGGGAAGAUGGAGUGGGUAACCACUUGCCACGGCUAACUUCGUGCCAGCAGC
rnacentral:rRNA from 1 species